AACGAACGCUGGCGGCAUGCCUAACACAUGCAAGUCGAACGAGACCUUCGGGUCUAGUGGCGCACGGGUGCGUAACGCGUGGGAACCUGCCCUUAGGUUCGGAAUAACUCCCCGAAAGGGGUGCUAAUACCGGAUAAUGUCUUCGGACCAAAGAUUUAUCGCCUUUGGAUGGGCCCGCGUUGGAUUAGCUAGUUGGUAGGGUAAAAGCCUACCAAGGCGAAGAUCCAUAGCUGGGCUGAGAGGAUGAUCAGCCACACUGGGACUGAGACACGGCCCAGACUCCUACGGGAGGCAGCAGGGGGGAAUAUUGGACAAUGGGCGAAAGACUGAUCCAGCAAUGCCGUGUGAGUGAUGAAGGCCUUAGGGUUGUAAAGCUCUUUUAACCGGGAUGAUAAUGACAGUACCGGGAGAAUAAGCUCCGGCUAACUCCGUG
rnacentral:rRNA from 1 species